rnacentral:rRNA from 1 species
UACGUAGGAGGCUAGCGUUGUUCGGAAUUACUGGGCGUAAAGCGCACGUAGGCGGCUUUGUAAGUUAGAGGUGAAAGCCCGGGGCUCAACUCCGGAAUUGCCUUUAAGACUGCAUCGCUAGAAUUGUGGAGAGGUAAGUGGAAUUCCGAGUGUAGAGGUGAAAUUCGUAGAUAUUCGGAAGAACACCAGUGGCGAAGGCGACUUACUGGACACAUAUUGACGCUGAGGUGCGAAAGCGUGGGGAGCAAACAGG